rnacentral:rRNA from 1 species
UACGUAGGUGACAAGCGUUGUCCGGAUUUACUGGGCGUAAAGAGCGCGCAGGCGGUCGAUCAAGUCGAGUGUGAAAGCCCCCGGCUCAACUGGGGUGGGUCAUUCGAUACUGAUCGACUCGAAGGCAGGAGAGGGUAGUGGAAUUCCCGGUGUAGUGGUGAAAUGCGUAGAUAUCGGGAGGAACACCGGUGGCGAAGGCGGCCUUCUGGACAGUGACUGACGCUGAGACGCGAAAGCGUGGGGAGCAAACAGG